UACGAAGGGGGCUAGCGUUGCUCGGAAUCACUGGGCGUAAAGCGCACGUAGGCGGAUUGCUAAGUCAGGGGUGAAAUCCUGGAGCUCAACUCCAGAACUGCCCUUGAUACUGGCGGUCUCGAGUCCGGGAGAGGUGAGUGGAACUGCGAGUGAAGAGGUGAAAUUCGUAGAUAUUCGCAAGAACACCAGUGGCGAAGGCGGCUCACUGGCCCGGUACUGACGCUGAGGUGCGAAAGCGUGGGGAGCAAACGGG
rnacentral:rRNA from 1 species